UGAGCGCCUUCCGUGUGCCAGGCUGUCCAGGAGCUGUGACCUCACAGGCAGCAGCACAAAUGCAUCAGCACCACCCAACAGCCAAUGACACACACCUCGGCAGACCUGUGAGGCUAAGGGAGCUGAAGAUGUCCCCUGGAAAUGUCAGUGUGAUCACGUCACCUGAGCACAGCACAGCAGCCCAUGUCUCUGUGAGGCCUGUAAGUCACCUGCCAAGCACUCAGUGCUGAAAGUACAAGCACAGAGCCACACGGAGGACCUAACCCUGUAGUGUGAUUGUCACCCAUACUCCCAUCAUUUGGAUUUGCUGUGCUAUGCUGUCCACAUGAUUCUAGAGUGUACUGCACUUAUUUAAGAAAGAAAAGAGAACACCUGAGUGUUAUGGUUUAUGACUGUGUGUCCCCCCCAAAGCCUCAUGCGGCCAUGGGGCAGGCUUUAAGAGUUUGAUUAUGGGUGUGAGAGCUGCACCCGCCCUGGGGUGGACAGUUUGCAUAUGUAAGGGAGAGGAAAAGAGUGCUUGAGGCCAUUCCUCCCUCAUUCCUCGCUGGUGUGUGCUUGUUGCUUUACUGUGUUCUGCUGCCAUGAGGUGUAGCUCUCUGCCAUGUGCCAGUCUGCCUUGUAAUCUGCCAAAUAUGGACUGAAACCUCCACAAACUGUAAGAGAAAUAAACCUUUCCUUCCUUAAUUUUGGGCGUCAGAUAUUUUGUCCCAGCAACUAGAGAAAAGUAACCAAGACACUGGGCAAGGAGCGCAGCUUGGUGGUAGAGCACUUGUCCUGUAUUCUCCAGGCUCUGGAUUCAAUCCCAGCACCACAAAAAGAAAAGAAAAGAAAUUCGAACUGUGCAGCAACCUCACAGGCCCUCAGGAGGGUUCAGAAAGAGCCUCACUCCCCUGGAAAUGACAGUACACUAUGUCCUUGAUCCCAAGGACCUCCUAGGAGACACUGUGGAGGUGGAGGAUGGUGACAGGUCCCGCCUCCGUGUAGGCCUAGACUCCUGUGUGAGCUUGUGUUUCAGCCUUUUAAAAACUGCUAAAAGUUCUGCUACUGGCACCAUCGUCUAUCCACAAGCACCAGCAGAAACAAAUGCUCACCCCAGGUGCCCUUCUGUGACAUCGUCUCCCUCUUUCGGCCAGGGACCAAUCAAGGAACCCUCCAGCAAGAGCAAGAACACACACAGAAUAGUCACCAACAUAGUUGCUCACUGACUCAGAACUCCUGAAACUACAGGUAGGACCAAAGACUGUACUUCUUCCAGCACAUACAGUGCUUAUAAUAAAGCUUAAUAUAUAAAUCAGGUACAGCAAGAAGUUAACAACACUCAUAAUAAAAUCAAAAACUUAGAACAAUAUAGUGCAGUGAAAUUUCCAGUAUUACCACUCUUGUACUGUGGUCAAUUAGUUAGUAAAACAAGGGUGAUCAGUUACCUGUUCAGAACCACGUUGGCUCCUACAUGACUAACCAGGGCUGCAUACACUGUGUGGACACAGUGGACAGAGGGGUCACCUGAGGUGGAGUAGUACCUGUGAGAUUUCACCCUGCUACUCAACCUUGUGCAAUGCAUGGAUUAUUUAUUUCUGGAACUUUCCAUUUAAUAUUUUGGACUCAGGUGACCCAGAGUGACAGGAAGUAGAAGUAAUGACAAAGGAGGCAAGGUCACAAGCCCCACUGCCUGCCCUGCACACAGCCUGACCCCAUCUCUAUCCACCAUGGAUUCCUUCUAUUAACUGUAAAGCCCAGGAAAUUAUGAUUCCUCCAGUGUCGUGUCCUAGAGACAAUGUCAGUCUUGAGGACUUGGCAUCCAUGGAUGUAAUCACAUUUAUAAACUUACUAAUGGACAGCAAGAGCAGAAGUGGCAUCUAAGUGACUGACUGAUAUGAGCAGUUGUUCCCAGCAUCCGUGGCGAGAAGGAUCAGUUGAGGGACCUGCUGGAGAAACACUCCCCUGGUAAGCAACCAGGCCAGUUACAGGAGGUCCUGUUAAGUCUGAAUUUUAGGCACGAAGAGUGUUUAUUAUAGUCUCACCCAAUAUUUGAGCCAUAUUUAUACUUACUAAAAUAUCUGUCACUUAUUUGAAAUUUAAAUCUAGCUGAGCAUCCUGUGUUUUCAUUUGCCAAAUGGCAACCCUAAUAGUUCUACACCACUAAACCGCUCUUGAGCACCUGGAAUUAGGCUCAAUAAUCUGAAAUUUCAUCAAAUCCUUGUUGAAUUCUGGUUAUCAGCCUGGGGAUCCUGGUGAAGGAGCAGCAAUCCCCUUCCAGACCCUCCUCGGGGCCACCUGCUUCCCUCCAACCCAGGACUCACUGCCUUACACGCAGGGUACCAUGUGGUGCCCUGGCUAGGGCUCCACAGGGGGCUGGGAUGCCAGGCGGAGCUGGCUCUUGAAGUGCUUGCUCCAUAGCUUUGGGAAGUGACACAUUUUUUAUGUCAGGAUAAAAAUAAACAAAACCAAAGUCAAGAGAGUUCUGUCCAUCGUGCUUUCUCUACUUGCCAGCUGUACAAACUUGGAAAGCACUUAGGCCCUGUGAUCCUCAGCCAUUUACUUUUUUCAUUAAGGAAAUAUUCCUUGAGUGCCCUUGUGUGUGAGGUCCUUUGCCAAGCCUGGGAGACACCAGAAACAGGCAGGAUGGUGGGGUCCUGGCUCACAGGGGGCACCUAAAUAUGGUCAGCUCCCUCAUCCCUGGAUCCACCUCAUACUCACCAACUCAGAUCAAAAAUGCCAAAAAGAACUUUCAUCUUUUCCUUGUCCUACUCCCUAAACAAUACAGCACAGCAGCUGUCUGCCUGGCAUUUGCCCUGCAUCAGGUGCUGUAAGUGAUCUAAUCUGUGUGUACAUUCUACAUGAUGCCUACAGCAUUUCAUCUGCAUCUACAUCAGCAUCACGGAGGUGAGUAUCUGUGCAGAGACUGAGGGUUGACUGCACAGCUAACUAAAAAUGCAAAUGUGGCAAAAACAAUCACCCAGGCACUGCACGGGCAUGUGUGAUGAGAGCAGGGGCACCUGCAGUCAUUGUCCCUGAAACCACCUCUGAGAAGGUGCCCAUAACGCCGGGGCUCUGUGUGGACAGAAGCCCUCCAAGAAGGCAGCUCCGCAAGGACCCCUGCUCCAGACCUUGGAGCCCGCAUAAGCCGUGAUCCCAGGCAUAUUAGCACGGCUCUUAUUUUCUGUAACCCGAUGCUUUGGCACUGGGGCCUGCUGACCCAGAGGGAUGGCCCUCCCAGGCAUGGGCAGUUCCCAAAGAUUGCCAACAUCUGGACUGUGCACACCUCUCAUGUGUAAACCAACCAACACAGAGCCCACAUCCAGCCACCUCCCUACUGAGUUCUCCUGCAACAUGGAUUACAAAUUGCUUAGGGUGGUCUGUGCCAGGGACUACAUCAUUCCUUCCUUUCACAUCUGCAGUUUUCUGUGUCUUUUUUUUUUGUAUUAUUGC
ensembl:lincRNA